rnacentral:lncRNA from 1 species
UUUUUUUUUGUAGCUAUGAACUGCAUCAUCCAACACAGAACUAGUCAUGUUGAUCCUGUUGUUCGGGUUGAGCACUGACUGUCUUCAAGACAGCAUGGAUCGCAUGUUUGCUAUAGCUACAGCACGGUGAAGCAUAUACGAGAUACAUGGCUCAUUGUUUCCACAAUUCAACUGCCAAAUCCGUGGAGGCAACCGGAGGGAUUGGCGGCAGGUCAAGCAGUGAGCACGAGCGAGGUCCUAGAUGGAUGUUCUUGUUGCAGUCGAUCGUCAGACUCCUCCUUUGCCAAUGACAAGCGGGUCCCCGACGAAGAUGACUGCGAUGUCUGUGUGCAAUCUCUAAGUUCAUCUUGCUAUUUCAGUAGUUCUGAGUUGCAGCAGGCACUUCAAGGAUCAACAAUCUUGAGUCUACAGUAUUUAGCUAGUGACUCCUUUCCAGUAGCCAAGCAACAAACUUUCUUGUAAUCAAGGGCAAUCAGCCCCAAUCUAUGUACUCUUUCCUUAUUGAGUAAAAUAUAUGAGUUAUCAGAAAAAGGUAUUUAGUGAAUUGAAUAAGGACAAGAUCUUUAUAUUCAGAAAAUUACAGAAAAACUCAUGCCAUACUUAGUUACGGCUGCUUCUAAAAUACUUGGCUACUCUAAUUUUAGAACAACUUUUGAAUUAAAAACGUGUUUGCGGUGCUAACACUGAACUUUAAUAGAAAUGAACGUGUAUACACCAAUUUAUGAUACUUAUAACGAGCAACACCAAUUCAUGCCAAUAAUAUCCGAUGAAUGAAACAGAAUAAGCAACAACAAAAGGGAUAACGUCAAUGCUAACUUAAAUUCAAAGUUAACAAUGAUAGUAGAUCAAUUUACAACCCAACCAAAGUAUGUCAAAUGCCAACUAAACCAAAGUAUCAGUAAGUUUUUGGAAAAUAAUUCCCAGAUGCUCGUUCAAAUGUAUUUUUAUAAGGAAAUAUCAUGGAUAAUUCAAGAGUUGAAGCAUUCAACACGAAAGGGUCGGAACAUUGUUACUUGGGGUCCACCCCACUUAAAUUAUUUCCCCUUUUUUUAUGAGAACCUGUCAGCUUUAAGUGCGUAAGGUAGACAAAAGAAAGGGUAGAAUCAUUUUCCUAAACAUCAGCAACCCGAAACAUCAUAACUGAUAACCGAAACCAACCUUCUGAUGAUUCUUCAUUCAGAACGAUCAAUGAAUCAGUUACUUGAUCUCCUGCACCUGGAAAGAAGCAGUUUAAGCAGGUCCAAAUAUUAGAUAGAGCAGACAAAUCCACCAUUCAAUGUGGUUCAGAAAAGGAAAGUUAGCUAUAUAUUGUAGAAAGUCCACCAGUUUAGGUUUCAACCACCAAAAGAUGCCAAUUCAUUUAUAUAGCGUAAAAAAAUGCCCAUGUUUGGUAAUUUAACAUUCCAUCUAAUUUAUACCUCCUGCCAUCUAGGCUGAAACGCCCCUGGCCUAGGGCUGUUCAAACUGGACUGGCACAAACCAGCCCAAACCAGAUUGGGGGGAAUGUAAACUGCAUAGUGUUCACAAUUAGUUUAUUUUCCCCGCAAUCCGGUUUGUGCAGGUUGUGCAAAACUGGUUUGAACACCCCUGCCCUGGCCCAAUCCUUAGAUCUCACAUUCUUUUUUUUUUCUUUGCGAAGCCUUACAUCCCACAUAAUCCCCUUCCCGACUAAAAGCUAUCACCACUUGCCUACUUGCAGCCAACUUGUUUGAAGCCAAAAUCAACAUCUAGGCAGUUGAGCAUCCACGACUUGAACAUCAUCAUUGGCAAGGUUGGCUGGCCCACUAAUAGUGACAAACAUGCCACCGAAGUCUAUGCCCGACACUUCUAUAAACGGCCGUCUAGCAGACAACAGCCAGUGUCGGACUCUGCUCCAAAACAGUACAGCAAUUCAUGCAGCUUCAACGAAACCAGCACCUAAAUUACGGUCAGAACCAAUUAAUUCAAGGGCAAUAAGCUGAGAAACUUUGUGCUGCAAAUAUGCAAGUUGAUGAAGUAGCAUGGUGUAAUGGUGGCUCACGCUCUUUUUGUUGUGUUUCUAUUGUGUAUAUUGCUGUGUAAAAUGGCGAAUGCAAUAUCAUCCGAAAUGUAACUGGGGGCUCCAAUUCCGAAAGUAAACAGUGCAGCAGCCUGAGUGGGAUGAGGCAACAGGCUCGGUAUGCAGAGCAAGUAGCUCCCUUUCAAUUGAACCAUGAUGCUGUUGCCAGACUCAGCACCAGGUGCUGAUUUCGAGAGGCAGUUGCGUGAUUGCUCUGCUCUUCCGGGCCAACCCCUCACACUCGAUCAUGAUACGGUUUCAGUUCAACUACAAGAACUACUGGUGUAAAGCUCAUAUCUCACUACUGUUGCCUUACCCCGAUAAAAAAUGGGAAGCGACAAAAAUCUAGGGUUUAGCGAAAGGCAAGCUACAACACAGAUGCAGCUUUGCACGGUAUAUAAAUUUUGAUGGUAAACCUAGACUGGUUAACUCCCCAUGGUAUAUAACCACUUUUCCUGUGAAAAGAAAAGUAGAAGCGCAGAAUAGAAAUUACUAGACGCGAUGCAAAAUCUAAGAUAUGGUCAACAUAAAAGUAUGCUCAACACACCAGUGUGAAUAAAACAUGAGUGCAACUUAAUAUUUUUUUUAAAAAAAAGCAAACCAAUAAAAAACAAUUACAAACAAUGUUUCUCCUAGUUACUAUAUACAGAAACAUCAUGAUAGCGUACUAAUAUUAUAGUAUGUAGAAGAAACCAGCAGGAAGGGAUAAGAGUUAUCACAACUCUAAUCACCAAACUUCUCCCGUGCGAAGAAGUUCUGAUCAAACUGAUUUAGUUGGGCAGAGCUCAUUACUGUAUUAUUGCUUCCUUGAUAAACAGACUUAUCUACAGCCUACGGUUAUAUAAGAGGCGUCGUACAAUGCUAGCUAAAUUAAUAAACAUGACUCUGAAGUAGACAAGGGAACAGAUAUACUAAUUCAACUCUACUAUAAAUAGUAACAUGCAUAUCUCAGCCAUCCGUAGGCUCAGCUGAAUCCAUUUAGUUGCUGAUCCAGGCACACUCAAGUCCUUAUUUCUAUGCCUCCAAUACUUAAGCCCAUCCUUUCUGUCCAUAACAAGUUAACAACUAAAAACAAACCUUCUGGUGGUUUCUCCAGGACUUUUAAGCAUUCAACUGCAUCCGCUGCUGCACCUGGAGACAAGAUAAGAAUAUCUAAGAAAUUAAGUAGUAAAAGAAGCGAACCCACAAUUUGUUCGAUAUAAUUCAAAAUUAAGGUCCAAUUAGCAAAUAUGUAAAAAAACAGAAGGUGGAGGUGGAGAAUAAAACUAAAUAGAUUAAUGAACAACAAGGAGCAUAACGAUUAUCAAAGUGAAAAAAUAUGAUGCAAAUGAAAAACAGGUAGAGUAACUUUUAUAAACAGUAGCUACUCAAGACAUCAGAACUGAAACGAACCUUUCGGUGGCUCCUCUUUAAGAUCGUUUAGAGGAUUAGCUACUUGCUGUGCUGCUCCUGGAGACAAGGAAGUUAAGUUGGUGGACAGAGAUCAGACGAACUCACCAUCAGUUUCAUCUAGUAACUAAAUAAAGUUCAGAAUAGGAAGUCGCAAACAUGAGAAACACCCUAGAUGCUGCUGGAACCUUUUGGGGUGGGGAGUGCACGGCCAAAGUAAAAAUUUUAACCACAUAGAUACAAAAGCAAACCAUAAGUGGCAACUAAUUGGAAAACUCAAAGAUGGAGAGUGAAUAUGACACAAUGAAGGAUUGUGAAUCAUAAUACAUAAAUGUAUUCUCUCGAUAUAAAAUAACAUAGAUGCUUUUAGUAAAAUUAUUAAUACACGUAGAUAAUAUAAAUAGCUCUAAAAAGUAUUUAGUAAACUCAAUAGGGAACAUAUCCAAUAAACAAUGAAAAUGUCAAAAUGAAGCAAAACAUAACAUUAUUGAUAAGUGAACAUUAAAUAAGUACGAAAUCUAAAUGAAUCAAAUCACAGCACAGUAAACUGAAGCGUCAGUAAUAUUUCUGAAAAUGGCUUUACAUUGACCAUUUAGAUGAUUUCAAAUUAAAUAUCAGUUUUAAUAUUUCAAAUUAAAUAAUACAGGACUCAAUGUAUUCAAUACGGAAAAGCUUAAAACAUUGUUAUCUGGGUUCACCAGGUAAAAGUUGUCAGCUUCUAGGGUGAACACCUCAGACCUCACCUGUCUUUGCAGGCAUACAUACCACCGCACACACAGCUUACUCAGUUUUUUAAAGCACUAAAUAUUGAAGAAAAAACUUCGGCAUACGCAAUAUGAACAAACCUUUAGAAGUUUCUUCCACGUCUAUGAAACAAACUCUGCCUCUUCUUUUACCUGCACAAGGAUCCAAAGUUUACCUCUAAUUAGCGUAAAAGAUUAUGCAAUUCCUGUGGAUUUCUUUUUUUAUAUAUAAUUAUAAGGAAGUGGCCAAGCACACACAAGCACUGCGAUCAAACAAACCCACCACGCUGUAAAGAUUCACACAAGUGGUUAUAUAAUAACUCAAAAGUUUUCUCUCAAAAAGCCCACAACUUUUGGAAUGUAAUCUGUAUGGAACUACUUUGGACAUAGUAGAAGUACAUCCUGUAUCACGUAUCCACCACCUCAACAGAUCUUUGACAACAGAAGAAUUAGUAUGUAGUAAAAAGAUGUCUUCAUGAGGCUAUUCCAUCUAUUGUAAAUUGUGAACCUAAAUAUGUAACACUUUAACGAGCAUGGCUAUUAACAUGUUGAAGUUUAAAAUUUGUAAACAGUGGUGGAAUGAUAGUUAGGAUCAAAGGCAGAUUCAAUGGUGUUGAAAUCAUGGUGCAGCAGAGAAUUCAGUAGCGCGCUCGCGCUACAUAAAGAAAGGGCUGCAGGUGGACUGAACUCCUGCACUCCAACUCUGGAUGGAUGUGGAUGCAGAUAAUAAAAGAUUGCAUGCUAGAUGGGUGUAGGUGGAUGCAGUCGUACUACACAGCUUGUAUAAUAUGUUGUGCUUUAUCCAGACAAGUCGUUUGGUACGAACUGUUACAUGGUGCUAUUUGAUCAGACUUUUUAUUAUCUUUGUAAAAUGAUGCACUGGCAAAAUAAUGUAGCUCUAUUUUGUCUAAACUAGGUUUUCCACAACAAGAUGUUAGAUCGAGUAUGUAACAACUUAGGUAUUUGGGACAAUUAUGAAUGUAGAAUCCAAAAGAAGGAAAAGGUGUUUUAAGAAACCAAAAUUUCAAGUAUUGGCACCUCUAUUCUCUUGAGAAGAGUUACUUGUUGCAACUUCCAGUUUAGUUUCCUUUUCUUCAUAUUCUGUAUCUGGAACAAUUUCUGGAAUCUCUUCAAGUCGACGCUGUCUUUCAGCUGGUGUACUAAGCAGCUUUUUUCGUUGCAGUAAUUCCUCCAUUGUAAGAAAAUAACGAGUCAAGGAAGAAACCCUGCGGGAAGUUUCUUCAAUGGUACUAACAAAAUGAACUACUAAAGUACUGACAGUGAAAUAGAAAAGUAAAAUGACAUAAAAAAUGAAACAGUAGAAAUUUAUCAAAGAGUAAAAUGCAUCGGAGGUCCAUCAACUUGUAAGGGGGUGUCACUUAGGUCCACAAACUUUGAAAGUGCAUUUCUGGGUCCAUGAACUUUUUAAGUUGUCACAUAGGUCCAUACCCCUCCACAUAUGCUUCUAACACUGACAUGGCAUGCUGACUGGGCAUCUCCUCUCUCAUCCCUCUCCAUCCUCCUCUCUCCCAUGGUUUCUAGUUGGGGCAUUUCAUCGAGCAGGUUGUGGGCAAUGUGAACUCCGACGGAUGAGCAGGGGCUGCCUGCAUUUGCUCUGCCACUCGGUCCUAUGGCCAAAUGGCCUGCUCACGCACGAGUGGAAGAAGCCCGUGGAGAGGAGCUUCCGCGUGGCGAAUUGCUCGCCUACAACAACUACAGACUCCAGGCGGCUGGUGGAGCUGGAGACGCCAUGGAGAGGUGAAGCUCCAGCCAGGAACUGUCGAAGCUAUGUUCGGCAACAGCGCUGGUGGGAUCAUAGGAGGACAAGAUUAUUAGCAAUAGUGGAGGCAGCAGCUUGGGGCUCAAGAUUGAUGACGACAUCAGGACCUAUUCAGCCAACGUGAUCUCGAGGACGUGCUUUGGGAGCAAGUACGUGAGAUGCGGCCUGCACUCCGGCAGGUGCGUGCAAGCUGGUACUGGACAUCGUGAGGGAGAGCAGGGACGACGACAAGAACCUACGCAGAACGGCGAGCUCUUCCGGCAACUGCAACGUAGCUGCGGACAUCAUUGACAACUGCAAGAACAUCGGUGGCGAGCGCUUGCCUGUGGGUGUGCGCUGUUGGGCGCCUAAGCGGGAGUUGACUCGGAGAGCUUCGCAGGCGCACGUCCACAGUUGCAGCCGCAUGGGUACCUGCCCAUCAACGCCAACGCGCGCACUCGCCUUGGCCAGGCCUUCACGAUAGAUGAGCUCAAGGUACCUGUGCUCAGGCUCAUCGUGGACCACUUGAUCUGACAGGCAGUCCAUUGGAGCUCAUCUCACCCACAACCUGCUUGAUAAAAUGCCCAUCUAGAAACAUGAGGAGGGAGGAGGAUGGAGAGGGAUAAGAGAGAAGAUGCCCAAUCAGGAUGCCAUGUCAGCAAUAGGAGCACACAUGGAGGGGUAUGGUCCUAUUUGACACAACUUAAAAAGUUUAUGGACCCAAAAAUGCACUUUCAGAGUUUGUGGACCUAAGUGACACCCUCUUACGAGUUGAUGGACCCCCGAUGCAUUUUACUCUUUAUCAAAAGGUGAUCAUUAGUCUGGAAAGGAUAUUCUACGUGCCACCCUUUCAUAUGUGCUCUGUCAAUAUAUCUUUCCAGUAUCACAAGUUCUCUUUCAAUCCACUGAAAAAUGGCAAUUUGAUCAAUAACACAUAAGACAAACAAAUGGAAAUAAAGAAUAUAUUACUACAAUAGUAGGAUAAAUGAAGUGCUGUAUCUGGUAUGAGAAUUUUCUGGAACUUUGCUUUCAGACUUAAAAAUUAGGGUAUGGUGGACAGAUAAUUCAAGUUUCAAAGCAAAAGACAGCAGUGAUAUAAAUUAUUCGUGUACAAGUUUAAAUGCUAUAUGGUGCAUUAUGUCCUCUAGUAAGAGUGUCAAGUACUGUUUAGUUGAUUCGGAUAACCAGUUACUUGUUAAGAUUUUCUAAUUUAUCAAUCUGCAUACAAUUUCCUUCCAGCAUAUACAAGCAUGAAGUACCAAACCAGUGCGGUAUUCACUGAACUCCCAGGUGCACUUACAUGAUUUACUAUGUCUCUAUGUACCGUUGCCACCUUCUCCUCAAACUCAGCCUGCCAAAAAGAGCAAACUCAAAAAUCUACAAAGGAGCUUAGCAUAUGCACAUUAGAAACCCAAGUAAAACAGGUGAUCCAACGAUCUUUAAGUAUUUCCAGCUAACAGAAAUUAAUAGGUGAAGACUUAGGUAAACAAGCUGGCUUAUAUGGCCGUAAGACAAUUUCUCCUUGCUCAUAGUGUCCCCAAGAGAACUGCAGGCAAGCUGUUUGAAGUUUAUAUUGUCAAUAUAUUAUCUUUGGCCGUAUUGGAAAUAGUAUUUUUAGUGUCUUGGAAACUUUCUUAAACAUUAAUUUUAUAAGGUUGUGCAAUAGUGGUCCAAGCUGCACUCACAAGGUGGCCGGUGUCCAAAGAACAAACUUAUUAUGGCCAAAGGGAGUAGAGGAAACACAUCAAUGGUCUACAAUCAACAAGUAAAGAAUAUAGACCGUCCAUGACAUGACCCGGCACAAACAAAAUAACACUCAUGCAACACUCAACGUUUUCCAUCCUUCUAUUUAAUCGAUGCGAACUCCAGCUAGCAUAACCUACAGAAAGUAACACUGUGGUCCUUCAUCUCUUUGGACUAGUAAUUUCCUUUCUAGCAAUUAAACAAUCUGGUCUGUUCAUCCUCCUAGCUCAGUAUUUGCCAUUGUUCUAAACAUCCAGUGGGAAGAGCAACUAAAGGAAAAAAAAAGGCUAGAUCAAAUUAAAACACAUAUAGAGCACAAGGAGCGUAGAUCCACCUGAUCUACUUGUAUUGAAAUAUGCUAGAGGAAUUGGUGGGUUUUUUUUGGCACAAAGAUAAGGUCGCAGAUUUGUGUUAGUAAUCACAAUGUGAAUAUGAUAGCAUGAGUGAGCCAUAAUAUUGAUUCGCAAUGGAUGGACAGAUACAUAAAACACAUUCGGAUACAAAAUGUUCCCAUCGCAAGAGCAAUGAAUGUGAAAGUUAAAAGAAUGAAAUCAUUUAUUUUAUAGCAUGGUAAGUCUGCUCCAUCCAGUAUCACAUGGUUAGGCAUUGCAUUUAAAAACAAAGCUUUCAGAAUGUGAUCUUACAAUGGUAGCCCUCUCCAGGAGUCCUUUCUUAACUAAAGAAAUAAGAUCAUUGCAUUCAUCCUGUUACCAAGGAAAGAAGGCAUAAUUAUUACACCAAUUUUUUUAUUCAGGCAAACAAAUAAAGCUAUUUAAUGAAUUGGCGAACCAAUGUUGCAUAAACUACUCUAGUCUACUUUAAAAUAGAUUUGGCAUCUAAUUUAAUUUCCCAUAAGCUAACAUACAACCAAAAAAAUCAACCAGAGGGAUAAACGCCCUCUGAUUUCGUCUUAAAGAAGAGCAACUCGGUUUCGAACCCAGGCUGGUUACAGGUGACCCCAGGAGUUCAUCAUUCUACUAUUGCGCCCCGAGAAGCUUUGGUAACACAAUAGCAUUAACACUACUGGAUUAUAAAAAUCAUACCUCUACAAAGUCCUCAUCUGAGAGCUCAGAGAUAUUGACAUCAUUCCACAAACCGGUAACACAUAAGAGAACAUUUGUAUAUGUGUCAUUUAUCUUGUAUUCUUUUGAAGACUUCUUGAUGCCUGUUAUGAAUUUAUUCAAGAGCAGGUGAGAAAGUUGUUUCCUUUCUGAAGUAUAGAAUCGAAAGUGUUAGGCCUCGUGUACAAAGUAUGAAUCAAUUUGGACCCCGCGACCCACUUCAAAAGCAAAAGAGCACUUCAUAUACUGAUAAACAAAGGGGGAAAGGAUGUAAGAAAAUGUGAUUUGACUUUACACCAUACUGCUAACAACAUUCUGUACAUGCUCAACAAAUGAACUAGACCAUCAAAGAUAAGAACGAACGCUUCCAAUUGAUCUUUACCUGCUACUCGUCCAAGCAUGAAUGCAUUUGGAGAAUUUUUAUAGCAGUCCAUACUGAAGGGAAUCUUGAAUCUAACAAAACAGCCAACAACUUUCUGUUCAAAUGUGUCUGGCUGACUCAAAAGACUAACAACUAAAGUUCUUCUCAGAUAGAUUAGAUUGAUGUUAUUCUGAACAAGGGAGGCAAAACAUCUCUUGCUUCGUUCUGAAACCCUUUUAGCAAUCUUCGGCUCCAGACUAUUCCGAGGUUUCUUUUUCAUAACUGGGGUAUCAUCAUCUUCAGAACCAUCAGAUAUUUCAUCAUCUGAAACAGCAUUUGAAGUUAGAUGGACUGCCAAGAACCUACGGAUCAUUUUGCACCUCACUUUUCUCCUUGUAAACAGAGGUUGCAACUUAUCAUCACAAAAGAAACAAAGUUUCUUAUCAUCCUGGUACAGAUUCUUCUGUUUAAUGUAUCCCUUGACAACUCCAACAAUUUCGGGUUCAUCAAGAGGUUUUGCUGUGUCCUUGCCAAAACUUGACAAGAAUUCAAUUAGCUCUUCCGAAGCCCAGCCAACAUAUGUUUUCUUAUUUGAUUUGUUUUUCAGUGAUGUGUUCACUUUAUUUUGCUUGCGCUUAGAGUCAGAAGGAAUUGUUUGGUCAUUGGUAUCAUUGUCAGGCAAUAUAUUUCCAUCUGAUUUGUGAUAAUCAUCUGGAGAUUUCUCUGAAUUCACUCCUCCUUUACAGUUAAGCCUUAUAUUCAGAAGAGCACUAGCUUCUUCCAGGUCAACCAAUGACAAACGUUCUCUAUCUUUAAUUACUUCCCAGUAGUCUUUAAACAAAAUUUUGCCAAUCUGUGCAUCUUCGUGAUCUGUCUUUGCCUGGAGAUGCACAUGAACUGUUGUCAGAAAAGACAAGGACAAAACAAGUGCAAAUUCGAGAGAUCAAAUUAGGUUUCUAAAUAAUCUAAACUACCUUGGCAUGCUUUCUAAAAAGAAAUCCAACAAAAAUUAUGCAGGGGAAGAACUAAAAAAUAGAUAUAAUAUGGUGAAGAGCUUUAUAGUAGGCAACAAUUUUUUUUCCAGAAUUGACUGAUAAACACAAUAUUGUGAUUCAAAAGAUAGUUGGGUAUAUGCAUGCAGUUACCGCAUCAGGAUCAGCAUCAGCAUUCUUCUCGAUCAAGAUAGCCUGGUUCAAGCACAUGCUGCAGAAUCCUUUAUUUUGCUUCUUAAGUUGCACAAAUUCCACUUUUCCAAUGCAAGCAUUGCAAACCGAGUAUACCGGACAGCACAGGCACUGAUAAUCAGAACUUCCUCUGCAGUUGAGGCAUUUGUGCCAAUCUGUAAAAAUUCAAAAUUAGGCCCACAAAUAAAUGCCAUUAGAUUAGAUUACCAGAGUACAGAGGUUAAAACAGGCAUUUCAUAAAGAUAGGUCUAGGAUAAUUAAUGUUUCAAGUUUAUUGGUAGAAUUGAAGUCCUGGUUAUAUUUCUGUUCCAUGCUGCAUGAUGCUGGAACAGGUAGCUAGGCAAAAUGGCGAACAACUGAAAUUUUAGGUGUCCAGCAGCUCCGUUGUGUAAAGAGAAUAAAACGAUAUCCAAAAAGGAACAAUGAUAAUUUCAUAAGGCGAUUUAUACUUUAGGAUAGGUGGCCAUAACCAAGGAAUGAGCAAGUGAAAACGAGUGGCCAGAAUGAUAUGUGUAUCCAAUGUGGUACCCCCUUUAGUCACAAAUACAAAAUGUGACAGGCUUCCGGUCAAAAUUUUUAAGCUUUGACAUCAAUAUAUAUAUAUAUAUAUAUAUAUAUAUAUAUAUUAGAAAUACCAAAAACAUAUGGAUACAGUAUUUUCCUUGCAAAACACUUUCAUAACACAAAAGUUAUGGAUUUUAUAAAUAUAUUCCAAUAGAAAAUAGCGGUUGAAGCUAGGUUUCCUUAGGAUCAUAACGUUGUCCAAACAUUAAGUGUUAGUGGCUGGAAGGGGUACUAUUUUUUCUUCCAACAGCCCACCAUACCAGCCCAUGCCCCUCUCGAGAAAAGAAUACUCCCUCCGUUCCAAAUUGUAGGUCGUUUUGGCUUUUCUAGGUGCAUAGUUUUUGCUAUGCACUUAGAUAUAGUGUAUGUCUAGAUGCAUAAUAAUAUUUAUGAACCUAGAAAAGACAAAACGACCUACAAUUUGGAACGAGGGAGUACCAAUCAAAACUAUUGAAUGGCAAUUUCAUAGUAGUCAAGCAUGGUGGUGCAUUAUCAAAACACUAUAAAGAUUAGUGUAUAAUAACUGGUCCCAACAAUUAAUUAAAGAAAAAACACUUUUUCCCUGAAAGGAAACAUUACAGGUAGAUAAAGCCACGACAAAAUUUAGGAUGCAAGGUCAUGUUCAUCAUCUCCGGAAUAAGAAAACACUAAUCAAAACUAUUGGUUGAAAUCACAUAGAACUCAUGCAUUCAUGGUAGAACACCAAAAGGGACAGAAUAUAAGCUCACCGCAAAUGAACUGUUCAUCAUCGUUCCAAAUACACUUUGGGUGGUACGCCUUGAGGCAGUUCCUGGAAAUAAUCAGGAGGCAAAAUUAGCUGGCCGACCUGUCGGCAACGUUUGAAUUGAGAAGUAACCCAGACUGUUCCCCAAGCCAACAAAGGCAUUGGCAGGUGCAUCCACCAUGCAAAAUUGUGGCAUCAAAAUCUACCGAACAGGCGAGCAGCAUCGCGCACAGCCAUCGAAACACGCCGUAACAAACCAACGGCACGACAAUCCGCAACCCAUCAAUGCUCAACUGUGACAAAAUCAUAGCCUUUUUUCUACACCAAACGAGCCAACCAAUCGACGCCAAAAACGAAAACCCCGAAAAAAUCUCGCAUGUUCAUCGUCUACUCAACCAACCAUCGGAGCGGCGGCGGCGGAAUCGCGCGUAUACAAGACGAGGGAGACUUACUUGUAAUCGCAGACGCGGAGGUCGUCGCCGCCGUCCUUACAAGCGAAACAGCAUUCCUCCGCCAUCUCCUCCUUAUCCUGCCUCUUCCUCCGCCUACCCAUCGCCUCCUCCCCACCGGCGCGCGACGGGAACCGGGGCCCGGAGCCCCGGAGUUAAACCCCUCAAAAACCUCCGCGAUCCCCGCCCGGAGCCGCACCACUCCGCGGAGGACGACGGCCGGCGUGCGGAGGAUUCGGGGCCCCCGAAAAUGGCGGCGGCGGAUGGGUGGGUGGUCUGGAACAGCGAGGGUUUGCAAACUGGCCUGAAUUCUGAACAGUGGGCGGGCAGGUGAAACGGCCGGAGUCUCGCGUCGCGCCGGGGGGUGGGCAGAGCGCCGGGCACGCCGUCGGGCGUCGGGUCACUGACGCGUGGCACUGAACCUUUUUGCACGCUUGCGGCGCCUCCUCCUCUCACUCUCCUUUGCCGGUCUGUGGAACGGUAGGAGGGGCUGACGCGUGGGCCCCUAUGUUCGCUGCCCAUGCGAGAGAGGCUUGCCGAGUUGCCAGUUUGAUGCAACCAGUUGAAACCGUGGAACAUUGUUUAUUAGCUGUCGCUCGUGUCAAAAAAAUAUAUAUUGAGCUUGGUGGUAGUUGGGUCAUAUUUUAACUUUUAUUUUUUGCAUUCGCUCUCCGAUCGCCUGUGCGUGGAACAGACGGGAGAUACUCCCUCCAUACGGGCAGUACCAAUAGGAGUAACCAACCUAGUUUCCAUAGUCUAGGAUAUUGUAUGUAUCAAGAAAUCAUCCUUCACAAUACAACUUUUUUAUCUAGAGUCUAAACAAAAAUCCAACCAAUCAUUCUCCCUUCUAGUACCAGAUCCUCUGUGCAUCAUGUAAAGGAGCUCGAGUGAUGGGUAGCAGCGGUGCAAGCGCAAAGGAUCCGGCAGUAAGUAAGAAGAAACUACUUGGGUCUCCCCAAUGCAGAUUCGCUGGUUUCUUGGCUCAUUGGUGCGCGUGAGGACUUGGUUUCCUCUCUAAGAAAUGGUUUCUCUCUCUCCAUAAUAAAUCUACUGCCACAUCAGCAAAUUGCUUAGUUGGCAUGAUAAUUAAGAGAGAUAGAAACUAUCAUCAAUGUCCCAUUGGGACUGCCCUACUGGUAUUAGAAGUCGUUUAAGACAUGAUUGCGCUUACCAAGAGUAAUUAGUUAAGGGGAAGUUUUCCUUCUUUGCCCUUAUUAAAUAGCGCUGCGGGUGUCCCUUAUACAAUAAUUCUUCAUAGACCAAGUGGUGAGCACUCCUGUUCCCGAGGCUUGUAGUCAAGUGUUUUUUUUCGUUCACUCGUUUUUUCGGUUCGGCGCGUUAAUUUCGUUCGUUUGGCGCUCACAGCUCAGCAGGUCCGACGGUUGGAGUGCCUGCGGUAUUAAGACUCGUUGCGUGCAGUACUACUGCCUUGCCUUGACUGUUCUUCACUUGCUUGUUCAUCUAGCCAUGGCUUAGCUUCUUCUCUAGCUUUCUACCUGCUCCUUCCACAGCAAUCUGUACGGCGUGAUGGCUCAUGUCCUCCAUGGCUUCGAUUUGAACAUUCGUAUGGAGGAAGAUGACGACGGCAAUCAUCCCUUCAAUCUCAACGAGCCUAUACUGGAGGACCACAACAACAAUGGUAACGUGCUCAUUCUUACUCAUUUUUUCUUUCCUUUUUUUAUAUUCACAACAUUAACGUGAGGUGAUCUCAACUUUCCAGCAUAAGAAGAUGAUGGCCCCAACCCCAACGACGUGCUUGAUUUCGACGAGCCAGAAUACGACGGCGCUAAUGAUGCCAACGGCGGCGUGUUUGAUCUCCAAGAGCAACAAGAUGACGGUAAAUGCAUCGCUUCGAUCUAUCCGUUCGUUGCUUGUUCAUAUUAUUUCAGUUCUCAUUAUUUUUUUUACAGUACUGGAUUUAAACUUACCUGUAGAUGAGUUCGGUGCAGUUGAUUUGGACUUUGUACAAAAUCUUGCUGGUAAUUUUUUUUGUCACAAUCACAUUCUUCUACUAGAUCAUGCAUGAAAGUGUUUGUUUUUUCCCUAUAAUUAGAACAUGAGUAGUAUAAACAUGCCGUGAAUAAGGUUUUUCCCUAUAAUUAGAGCUAUGAACGUGAUUCUUUUUUCUUGUAAUAGAACAUGUUGUCCAGAACCCCAACGUGAAAGCAGUUCAUGGAGGAUUACCCCACCGAAGGAAGGAAAUGACUGAAGCUCUCCGAAAACGAGUUUACCAAGCUUUGUUAGCUAGAAGCAAUGACGGUACACUACACAAGGAAGACACUGCAUUUGUUGCUGCUCAAUUUGACAUUCAUAUACGGACAACUCAGCGUGUUUGGAACCGAGGUAAAACACAACUUAGAAGCGGUGUUCCGGUUGUGGUUUGUAGUCUAAAGAAGGGUAGAGUUGGACGUAAAGCAAUACCUUUUGAUUUGGAAGCAUUGCGAAAUAUUCCUCUAAAGGAAAGAAUGACUAUAGGGGAUGUGUGCGCCAAACUAAACAUGAGCAAAUGGAGGGUUCAAAGGUAUUUGAAACUAGGAUUGAUUAGGCGCCACUCUAGUAGCAUCAAACCAUAUCUCACUCAAGCUAACAAGAAGUCUAGGUUACAAUGGUGUGUUGACAUGGUUAAUAGGGAGUUGCUUGAUGAUCCAAGGUUUAAGGAGUUGUAUGACUUUGUGUUCAUUGAUGAGAAAUGGUUCUACCUAUAUAAAAAAUCUGAAAGAUAUUAUUUGCUACCCGAAGAAGAUGAACCCCAUCGGACUUGUAAGAAUAAGAACUACAUCCCUAGGCUCAUGUUCUUGUGUGUUUGCGCUCGGUCAAGGUUUAGGGAUGGGAAUUGUAUUUUUGAUGGUAGGAUUGGUUGUUUUCCACUUGUUCAGUAUGAAGCGGCUCAAAGAGGUAAUGAGAGGAUAGGCUGUGUUCGUGGAGACUUGGUUAUGAAGCCCAUAACUUCGAUCACUAGAGAAGUGAUUAGAGAUUUUAUGAUCAACAAAGUGUUGCUUGCCAUUAGAGCUAAGUGGCCAAGAGAAGAUGUGGGUAGACCAAUAUUCAUUUAACAGGACAAUGCACCUUCUCACUUGAAAUUGGAUGACCCACAAUUUUGUGAGGCCGCUAAGCUAGGAGGAUUUGAUAUUCGUCUAAUAUGUCAGCCACCAAACUCUCCAGAUUUCAACAUUCUCGACUUGGGUUUUUUUCGAGCUAUACAAGCAAUUCAAUAUGAGAAGAAUGCAAAAACAAUGGAGGCUCUACUUCCAGCCAUGCAAGAGGUAAUUUGCUCAACAAUUGUUCACACAUGUUUCGAUGUUUUCUUCCACAACAAUUUGCAAACCGAAUUAAACUUCCACAACAAUUGUUCACACUUGUUAUGUAGGCAUUCAUGGAGUACUCACCAUGCCUUGCAAACCGAAUGUUUCUAACACUACAAGGUGUUUUCGUGGAAGCUAUGAAGAAGAAAGGUUGCAACAACUUCAAGAUACCUCACAUGAAAAAAGGAACAUUUGAAAGACAAGGUCGGCUGCCAUCUUGUAUCCCUUGUGAUCCAUCUUUACUGGAUGAAGCCGAGGCUACUCUUGCUGCAUGAAACAAGUAGAUUGAUGGUUGUUAGUUUUAGUAAUGGAGACAAAUCUUGUUAAUUAUCAGUUAAUUAGAAUUCAAUGUUAAUGAUCUUACCGCUGCUUUGGCGUCCUCCAUAGCCUUCUUGGCAGCGAGCUUACGCUCGUGCCUCUCCUUAGCCUCCUCUUUGACCGUCUUGAGCACGUCUGGAGGCAGCACGAUUUGAUCGCCAUCGAACACGAUAUUGUCGACAUCUGGAAUGAAAAACUCACACUCGAAUUCGUAGAAGCCAUGAAUAAUGGCGAAGAUCAUGUAGUCUGCGUGCUUGAGACCACAGCGAGAGCAUGGAUAGCGCCCAUUGUGCACACGAUCCCAUGCUUCGCGGUUUUCAUGAACGACUUGACAGCGGCGGCAAAUAAAAGCGCUCGGCGGCAAAGAAUCCGGCACCAUCACCGAGUCUGGUGCGAGCUCCUGCAACUCCGACGAGGGGAUGGUAUCUACCUCCGACUCAGGCACGAUCUCCUCCGACUCCGGCGCGACGAUCUCCUCCGACUCAGGCACGAUCUCCUCCGACUCCGGCGCGGCGAUCUCCUCGGACUCCAGCGCGACGAUCUCCUCGAACGCUGGCGCAAUCUCCUCCGGCGCGACGAUCUCCUCGGACGCCGGCUUGGACUCCAUGACUUGGGCGAGCGGCGAGCGUACGCGCGUCUGGCAGCGAGCGCGAGUAGCGAGUAGACGAGGCAAGAGGCAAGCAGGCGAGUGGACGACGCGAGCGGCAUGCGGCGCUAUUAAUAUCGAUUAAUGCGGCAGCGAGUCGUGGGAGGCGAACGGCGCGUUAAUAGCGGCGCUGGAGCCCAAGCGGAGGGGCAGCAGCGUCAAAUUUUGCCUAACCACGCCAGAACGACUUCUUUUACUCGUUUCCAUCCAAACGCCAGAACGACUCCUAAUACUAGUAUGGAGGGAGUAUGGCCCACGUGGGCCAUUUAUUUCGUGUCCUUGUCAUGUUGUACUUUGUACCGAGGCCAUCCUCGAUGAACUGUUUAUGUUUGCAAAAUACUAAGAGAAUAUUUAAUUUGUAGUUUGUGUUUGAAAUAAUGUACCCAUAGUUUUCAUCACCAUGAGUUUCAUUUCUUGAUUAACUGUUUGCCGUAUCAUCAAAAACACGUUGAUAUGGCUCUAUUUGGCUCUAUUUAAUAAGAAAGAUCAGCAUGAAACUCAUUUCAUUUCCUGAUUAACUGUUUGCCGUAUCAUCAAAAACACGUUGAUAUAGCUCUAUUUAAUAAGAAUGAAACUUUCGGUCUUAAGCACGAAUUUGUUAAAAGGAAAAUUAUGUUGGUGGUUGAGCCAUAUUUUAUUUUUUAUUUACUUUUCACUCUCCAUCACCAGUGUGGGUCCAGCAUGUCCUCGCUAUGGCACUGAAACUGCUUCAAUCCCGUACAGCACGUACCUGAACCAUCAACAAGGCGUUCAGGAUGAUUACUAACACCUUAACACGAGGGGGAAAUGAAUGAGGAACGAACACAAGGGGGAAAUGUAUGAGGAACGAAGAAAUAGAUGAAUAACGUGCUCGGCAGAAACGAAAAAUGAAAAGGUAGACAGAAAAGCGUGGUAGGCAGGAACCGAACCCUGCGCGGGCAAAGCCCGCAUGAUUUCUAGCACUGCUAGAUAACCACUCCGGCACGACCACUUUUCUGACGUUUGAGAAUCGGUUAUUUAAGUCAUUUUUUACUUCUUCCAAAUAACGUGGUAUUUGCAGUGACAGUUGCUUUGCGAAAAGAGAAACAAAGCCGUGGAGUUUGGACCUGUUCGCUUCAGCUUAUAAGCCGGCUGAAAAGCCGAAACGGCUGAUUUGUUGUGAGAGGAAAAUACUGUUUGGUGGCUGAUAAGCCGGCUGAAUAAGCUGAAGCGAACAGGUCCUUUAUUGUUCCAUGAUCGUACGUACCAGUGGUUUGGUGACUGGACUUUUACAGUGUGGCUGGUCGUUCUUGUAGCAAUGAUCGACAUUGGUAUCACGUAGAGUGCUAUAGCAUGACAAAGUUCGACUUUAACUUUGUACCAUUGCUUCGAUCCUCAGGACGAACAUGACCCCUGUAUCAAAAUCUGAACUUUAUGGGGAUCCUUUUGUGUGUCGGACUUGAUUUAGAGAAUGUUUUAGGCCGACAUAUCAUGCAGAUCCAGACUAGUUACAUGGCAAUCAGGAGUCUCCGUUUUCCGCUUCAGUCUUUGAGAGAGAAACCGUUCUGUUGAGAAUCUAGACGCAGAACGAGCGGAUGACCCGCCAACUACCCGUAGAAAAGCAUAUCCUGGAAGAAUGAUGGAGUUACAAAUUGCCUGUGCGAAAUGCAGUUUGGUACUGCCUCGUUUUGACUCUUCUAGAAGCUAGACAUAGAGUAUAUCUAAGUGUAUAAUAAAAUUUAUGAAUCUGAAAAAACCAAAACGACCUAUAAUUUAGAAUGGAGGGAGUAUGAUCGUACACGGUGAUGUUUCAUUUUCAAAGAACUAUUUAUGGAUGUGAUAGAUUAUAUGGUCUAUAUUUUCUCACUUUCCUCGUACCCUCCAAACAUGGCAAUGUGCCAAAGGCACGUUAGAUUGGUCCACAUAUACAUGGCAAUGUGCUAACCCUAGAUGUGCGUGAACGGUGAACCCCUAGCCUGGAACUUCAGCAAAUUUAUUUUUUUUAAAAAAAACAACUUCAGCAAAAUGUAUUUGUAGUGACUUGAAACUAGAUCAGAAGCGAUGGAACAAUGCUCAGCAUAGAAUCCAACUACCACCCUGCAUUCAUUUAUGUGUAAUUUAGUCAUAUACAUCCACACUACCAUGAUUACUUCAGUCAUAUACAUCUCAAGCACAUCAGAUCGACAAUAUAAAGGCUACAGAAAAUAAAAAUAUGAACACGGGUACAAAUGAAACAUGAACUAGAGCAGGCCUAAAUACCAUUCCGCAUGAACGGAAACUUACAAGGUCUUCCACAUUCCACAACCGUGUAGUUCCAAAUUACAAUCAGUCUGUACAUCUGCAGACUGCAGGGGCGUGCAUAGUAUAGUAUGCUUGCCAGUAGCAAGGCGAGUGACACUGGUUGGCCGCGGACUAUGGUAAUAUGGUAUUACUAGCUCUAAGUUACCGAUCACACAUCUCACAGGUGCCCCAGCACAGGCCAUGGAGUCACUCCAUUGGCGGGAAGCAUAGGCUUUAUGAUUGGAGCUCGCCGCAGCAUGGCCGUGGAUUCCUUCAGACGUGAUGCUUGGCCCUUGAAUUGGGAUGCCUUCUGCAGAGACGAAGAAGCACAGGAUAAAACUCAGAGUCAUUAAGAGAGAUACGCAUUAAGUAAAGUGCAUCAGAGCUAAGCAUAACAUGUUUUACAUAGGGGAGAACUGGGAGGCAAACAUGAAUAAAGAUCGAUCCGAGCAUCAAAUCCCAACAUUUGAACCGAAGAUUUGUUGAAUCAUACACAUUUCGCAUGUCUGUGCACAGAAAUAUAGGGGAAUACUCUGGUAUUUAAUUUUACAAUUGCUCUGCGUGUGUUCUUCUAUCAGCGAGUCCUAAUCAGUUGAAGCAACCACAAAUAUGAUUGCGGCAGUAGCAAGACAAGAUUAUCGAUUUCCUUUUGUUUCUGUUCUCUGCUUUGCCUUCGGCAUAAACAGCACAAGACAGGCAGGUAGCUACCAUAUAGCAUUUAUAGCUCUCAUCAUAUAUUCAGAGGAAGAAAAAUAUAUACAACGAGCAGCUAAGCUCUCAAAUAAGCUGGCUAUUGCUAAAGCUCAGUAUCAAUUUCUACAAGCGAUCCAAGAAGCAGUGUAAAUAAGGCAAAAUUCACAAUCACAAGCAAGACGCUUGCAGGGAAGAGGAUCGAAAGGCGUCACCUUUUCGUCGAGGACGAGGCGGACGCGCCCGACGGCCUUGCUCUGGCGGCGCAUCCGGUACAGCCGGCGCCCGAGCACGGCGAAUCCGAGCAGCGCGACGGCGAACGGCACCGACCAGGCGCUCCUCGCGGCGCGCAGGGCCCACACGCGCAGCGCAUCCAGCGGCAGCUUCCACCACGGCUCAGGUCCACCUCCCUUCGCCACCGCGCCCUCGGCCCCCUCCGCCUCCGCCUCCGCCGCCGCCGCCGCAGCAGCAGCCCCGGCCUCCGCCCUGGCCCGCUCCACCGGUUCGGUCACCUCGACCUCGGGCCUCUCCCCGUCCGAGGACGAGUCCGACCACAGCGCCGCUCGGUCACGGCCGGGGAAGAGAAGAUCAUCCGGGUCCGGCUCCACCCAGCUCGCGUUGUCCGACGCCGCGAGAAGCCCCUCCACCUCCUCCUCCUCCUCCUCCUCGUCCUCCUUCGACAGCGACGUCCUCCUGGGGUACUUGGCGUCGGAGCCGAGGUCGAAGUAGUCGUGCUUGAUGGCGCCGGCGUCGUCCUCCCCGCCGCCGCCGGCGUACGGUUCGGCCGCCGCCGCCGCCUUGGGGGACGCGAGGAGGAGCUCCCAGUCCUCGUCCAUCUUGCGUAGCUGGCUGGCUAGGGUUUGGGAAUUGGGAGCGGACAGCGGAGGCGUGAGCUGGGAUUCGGAGGCAAAGAGGUGAAGGGGAAGGAAGGGGGAGGAGGAGAGUGGUGUGGCGUGUCGGGUGGGGAAGGGGGUCGAAGAUUCGCGGGGUUGGAAGGAAACGGUGGUUAUUUCUGCGGUUGCUUGGAGUUUAGCGUUUGGGGCAAGAAGAUGAAGGAUUGGGAUGGAAUUUGAUUCUUUUUUGGCUGCAUGAGUCGUCCAACGAUGACGCAUCAUGAAGCGAUUCAGUGGGCAUUCGAUCGAUGAUGGAGCCAGACAUUAUUUUACUUUGUUAGAGGAGAUCAAUAAUGUUGAAGUCUUCAAAAUUUAGUUAAAAAUUGAAAUGUUUAGUGAAAAUUUGCUUGUGUUAUUGGACUCCCCCCUCCCCCAUGCCGCGACUACGCCAUUGCAUUCGAUUUAAACAGGAUUGAUGUUAAUAAUCUUUCGCAGUAAAAAUGCACAAUAUCCCAAUCGGAUUCUCACCAUUUCAGAUGAAAAGACCCUGCUAAAUUAUCCCAUAAAAUCAGCUCAUUUCACUAGGCAAUUGCAAGCUGUUCUGAAUAACUUUUUUUUAAAAAAAAAUUAGCUUAUUUGUACUAGCUCUUGUGAUAGGCAGUCAAUAAUUCUGAACGUUUUGAUAAGCGAGCACGCCCAAAAGAAAAUGAGGACGAAAUGUGAAACGGACCAGAUUUUAAGAGGCCUGCAUGCAGAUCGUGUGAUUGGUAGCGGCGGCUGCGAACCUGGGGAUUUUCCAUGGUUUUGGAGGCCUUCGUCGACAACGACUCGAUUUCGUUUCUCGUCGAUUCGUGGGGCGGUCAAAAAUUACGUUCGAGAUAUUUUGUUUCGCAAAGCACACACCCCCAAUGCCCCAAAUCUCAUUUGUACGUUGCAGCUUUGCUCUGGUACUCGGGGCAACUUGGAGCGAGAGCGAGUUUUUGGAGCCGGCCUGGUUGUCGAUCGUCGUCAUUGGCAAAACGAAAUGAAAACUCGAUGUGUUUCGUUUCAGUCAAAUGUACGAGCUGUUUGUUCUUCGAGCCCUUCGGAUCCAGUAGCGACGCUGAAAAGCCUGAAACGGAGGGAAGGAGCGGCGAGAUUGAAAGGCACGAGUCUGUCCACGUCGACGGUUCGGUUCUUUCUUGUCAUCAGCACGGAUGCGAAGGGGAAUGGUUCUUUAGCACGUCAAUUGUCCGUCGGGAAAUGAUAGCAGUGCAUGCGGUCUACGUAAGAGUUUUGUUUUGUUUUUCUUUUCCUGAUAUGAGAGCUUGAGCUUCUCUAGCAAUUGCUCUCUGGCUCCGUGCAAUGGGCAUUUUGGCUUCCUGAAAGAAUUGCUCCCUGGCUCCGUGCAAUGGGCGUCUUGGCUUCCUGAAAGCCAAAUAUGGUGAAAAUGAGCUGAUUGGCUGCUCAUUGCUCAAGUUAGUGGAGAUGGCAUGCUCUGUCGGCAAUUCGGCGUGCGAAAACAUGGCGAGCUGCUACUUGUUUUGCCGAGUCCUUAGUUUUCCAUGGGGAUGUCCUGGUUUAGCACUCCAUUGGCACCAGAGUCCCCCGAACUUGACGAACUUUUAUCUCUCCUUCGGUUUCUUCCCCAUUCUACACGUGUCGAUUUCGCCUUCUUUCCACUCCCCUAGUUUUGGUGCACUCGCGUUAUCGCGUGGCACGAAUCCAAAUGCUUGACUUGUAACUUUGCAACCAACUUCUCCUACAUCUCGUCCCGUCCGCAUUGACACGGUGACGGCCGGCGCCGGCGCCGCCGUGGAGCUGCGCUCGAAGAUGAGUUGCCAUUGCCACCAUCAGGACGUGUACGGCGAAUCAUCGAACCGCCAUCGCCGUACCUGACGCGCGGACGUUUCACUCUGAUCGCCCGCACAACCCGAUUCCACGGGCACCACCGCCACGACGACGCGACGGCGGCGAUGGCGUUGCCGGCGGGCGCGGGGCUGGUGGCCUACAACGCGGCCAUCUCCCGCUGCGCCCGCGCGGGCCUGUACCCGCGCGCGCUGGCCCUGUUCCGCGAGAUGCGCGGCCGGGGCCUGCGCGCCGACGAGUACACCCUCCCGCCGCUCCUCAACUCCUCCGCGCUCCUGCGGGCCCCGCCCGCGGCGGCCACGCUGCAUGCCCUGCUCCUCCGCGCGGGCCUGGCGUCCCACCUCCACGUCGCCAACGCGCUCGUCGACGCCUACGCCAAGCUGUCCCGCCCGGGCGCCGCGCGCGCCGUGUUCGACGAAAUGCCGCGCCGGGACGUGGUCACCUGGACCUCGCUCCUCACGGGGCUCGCCCGCGCCGGCGCCCACGACGCGGCCGUACGCGUGUACCGAGGCAUGGCCGCCGCGGGGGUCGACCCCGACGAGUUCGCCGUCGCGGGCGUGCUCAGCUCCUGCGCCGGCUCCACCAUGCUCGAGCUGGGGCGGUCGGUGCACGCCGCCGCGGUGCGGCUCGGGUUCCUGCCGUUCCUCUCGGUCGGGAACUCGCUCGUCUCCAUGUACGCCAAGACCGGCGCGCUGCGCGAUGCCCGGACAGUGUUCGACGCGAUGCGGGCGCGGUGCACCAUCACGUGGACGGCGCUGAUCGUCGGGUACGCGCAGAACGGCCGGGGAAGGCAGUCGCUCGAGAUAUACACCGACAUGGUCCGGUCCGGGUGCAGGCCGGACUACGUGACCUUCAUCGGUCUGCUCUUCGCGUGCAGCCACGCCGGCCUCGUCGACGCCGGCCGGGCUCACUUCCGGUCUAUGGUCACCGACUACGGCAUCGCUCCCGGGCCGGAUCACUACGCGUGCAUGGUCGACUUGUUAGGCCGGGCGGGGCGGCUGGAGGAGGCCAUGGACCUGCUGAACCGGAGCUCGACGGAGCUGGACGCCACGGUGUGGAAGGCGCUGCUGGGCGGGUGCCGGGUGCACCGGAACGCGGAACUCGCCGAGCGCGCGGCCGAGAUGGUGUGGAGGCUUGAUCCGGCGGACGCCGUGCCGUACGUCAUGCUCUCGAACCUCUACUCCCGGGAGAGGAGAUGGGGCGACGUCGCGAGGAUCCGCGCGCUGAUGAAGUCGAGAGGGGUCACCAAGGAGCCCGGGUGCAGCUGGGUCGGGGUGAACGGCGUGAUGCACCUGUUCCACGUCGAGGACCGCGGCCACCCGCGCGCCGCCGAGAUCUACCGGAAGGUGGAGGAGAUGAUGGAGAGGAUCAGGGCCGGAGGGUACGUGCCGGACACGGACUGGGCGCUGCAGGACGAGGCGCCGGACGGGAGGGAGAGGGGCCUGGCGUACCACAGCGAGAGGCUCGCCGUCGCGUUCGGGCUGCUCGCCGUGCCGGCGGCCGCGCCCAUCCGGGUGUUCAAGAACCUCCGGGUGUGCGGUGAUUGCCAUGCCGCGAUCAAGAUGGUCGCCAAGGUGUACGGCAGGGAGAUCAUUCUGAGAGAUGCGAAUUGCUUCCACCACAUGAAGGAUGGAGCUUGUUCUUGUGGCGAUUACUGGUAGGGAGAUUAGAUGGAGCUUUUAACUGUUCGAUCUUGGUAGAUUUACGGUGGCUUGUGGAUGUUUAUGGUAGAGUGAAUCAGCGGUAUGAGAAAAUAGGAAUCCAGUUUAGUUGAAAGUGAGAACACAUAAAAAAGAGAUCAAAUUCCCUCAGAAAAUUGCUCUGAAUUUCUAUUUAGAUUAGAUCGCACCAAAGGUGCCAGUGAUGUACAAUGUGCUAGUAUACUAUUCAGAGGGCCCUUUCUACUAGAAUGUCCUACCAAUUCUAAUCGUCGAUCUCCUUUACAGCAUCCUGAAAAAACAGUUGAAAGAGAGCAGUCAGUACUAAGCCCCGAACCAAUUGCAGGGUAAUAAAUUAAGCACGCGUGAUAUUAAUCCCCAAGCUUUCAUGAAGUCUUGCUAUCUGGGGAUAUCAGAAACGCGCCGUUAUGUCAUGUUUUUUGCAGGAAUCUCAUUUGUGAAUUGCCACAUUAUGUAGGUGCAGGGGUGGACCCAGAAUUGCAGCUGGGCCAGGGCUGUUCCAAUAAAAAUUGAUCUUAUCAGGAGAUACUAUGGCUGAUUUGAAGCUUUGUAAGCUGAUUUGCACUACAUAACACAUGGAAAUACUAGGAGUUUAUGGAUCAGACACGGGCUGCAGCACCACCAGCCCAGGGCCUGGAUCCGCCACUGUAUAGGCAUGUAUAGUACUAUAAUCCAUACCAAAAACAAAAGUCAUUACCUUUGCAAGCCUUGUUACAUAAACAGCAGCAAUGGCUGUAAAUAAUAACCCUACGCCAAGUGUCCAUAGUUGGCCAUUUCCUCCCAAACCAAUCUCCGAUUCAUCUUGCUGUGAAAAUGAGAAAGCAAUGUCAUUAUUCCAUUCAAGCCGCUAGACAGCAAUGUCAUUAUUCCAUUCAAGCCGCUGAUAUUUUUUUUCAAAGGUCGUACAAGACUUGCUGCAAUGCAAAUAGGAAAACCAACAGAGAUCAUUUUCCUCGCUAUAGUUGCAUUUUUCUCAUCAAUCCUCACUUGGAAAGGGUACGCACUAUAUUAGGAGUCAACAGAACUAUGUGAUACUCUGUCGUUAACACUAGAAUCUAAUAUUCUCAUGAAGAUUUAAACUGCUAUGACAAAGAUUUCAACAGCAACUACUAAAUACAUUGAAAGGCUAACUGAUGCCUUGAGGUGUUCUAAGAUGUCUGCAUUGGAAUAUGUGAACAUCUGAAGUAUUCUUGCCUAGAAUGAACUGUUAAUAUUUGUCGUGCGGGAUGCUGGACCUAGGUCAAUAACUCUUGAGGGGUAACUCGUGACCAGGAGCCCAUAUGGGCCAUAUGAUACAUAUGCACAGGUGUUCUUAUUAGCAAACUUGGAAUAGAACAACCAGCAAGCUAUUAGAAGCUGGAAAAUAACUUGAUGGCACAAAAUAUGAGGAUAAUAUAGAACAGAUCCACCUUUUUGGCAGAGAAAAUUCUAUUUACUGAAGAUGAACCCAAAAAAUACUGACGGUUGAAGAACUUACAAUUAUAGCUCGCCCGAAUGCACCAGCACUCACAUAAGCCCAUGAUCCUGGAAGCAUUCCCAACCAACUGCAUGUGAAUGGCAAAAAUAGGGUUAUAUCAGAGCAAACAAGGUUUUUGAACAACCAUAGUGUUAGCACCAUUUCUCACAACAUAAAGUGCCAACUGUACUUAACAAGAAGGUGAUCAAAUGAAAUUUGCGAUUCUUUUGCUCUCAUGCAAUACACACUUCCAGAUUGAUAAUACUGCAUCACAUAGCAUGCAGAAGAAACUAGGUACUCAAUAAAAUGCAGCUUAUGGAAUUGAAGUUAAGAACCACACUGGAAUGCAAGCAAGCAAAGAGAGAGAAACUAACCUGCCCAAGACAUAAGGCAAGAACUUCACUGAAGUCAAGCCAUAUAGGUAGUUACCAAGGGAGAAAGGCAAUAGGGGACUCAAACGUAGCAGAGUGACAACCUUAAAUCCGUUUUCACCAAUUGCCUUAUCAAUUGCUAGAAACUUCUUAUUUCCUUCAACCAAUUUGAGAAUUCGCUCUCUGGCAAAGUAUCUAGCAAUAAGGAAGGCCACCGCUGCAGCUAGCUACAAAUCAAUAGAGUUUAGUAAGGAAGUGCAACCAUGGGGGAUGAAUUAACAACACAAGUGCUAUUGAUGCAGGGUUACUUACUGUUCCACUGACUGAAACAAUAAUUGUACCAGUGACACUGCCAAAUAAUAGACCAGCUGACAUGGUUAAAGGUAUUGCUGGAAUUGCGAGAACCUGAGAUGAAAAAUAAAAUUAUAAAUAUUCAGAAGCUAUUAGAUGCAUGUGGCAAAACUGCUGCAACUUUGUGUUAGUAAUCUGCAGGUGACUGCUACUGCCAGGGGUGGCGCUAGCUGUAAAUUGACCCUGGUGCACUGAUUAAAGAACAUAUAAAGUUUUGUAUAAAUGCAUUGUGGAUUUAGGUCUAGUUAGUGGUAGUAUUUUUUUUUUUACCCUGGUGCCAUGGCAGUAUGGUACCAUGGUAGUUCAAUGUGGCUUCACCAGUCGCCACUGGCUACUGCCAUGGAUAUGAUCAUAAGCUGCUACAACAAGUCAACAACACCAUGAAAUGAACCAAGGUUGCUAACUUGAGAACAUACCUCCAAUCCUGCAUAUACAAGUACGAACAGAGCAUAUCCAGCAGGGCCAUAACCUGUCCAUAUAAGGCAACGAAGCAGUUUAGCCAAAAAAUAUCCAACUAAGGGACAUGCAAAACAUUUCCAUGACAAUCAAACAAGCAGCAGUGCAGACAUGCAACUGAUCAGUUCUGUGGUUCUUAUUUUCCUAUAAAUUUUGCAUAACACGAUUAGUGGAUACUGCGCAAUGCACAGAGUGGCCAGAAUGGGCAGACAACGACUUAAUAUUGGGAUCCCCUAACAGGGGUAAAUGUUGAUACUAAUGCUAUCACUGUCACCACAAGUAAUGACCUAGUUAAGACCUCUACUUCUCUGAAACAUGACAUCCACACAUUGCAAACCGUACCCAUGUCGUUGAAAACACUAGUUCAAGUCCACUGGCUUUGAUCCAAGUCCAAAAACACUCGUAUCCAAUCAGUAGCUAAGCUAAAACAAACACAUGGAAAUAAUAGUUGAAGAGCAAAGGUUGGUUAGCUCAUUACCAUCAAUGAACCCAGAGAACUGCGUGAGGAAGGUGUUGAUCUGGUCCUUGUACACGUACCCUGCCGCCCCAAACCCCCCUACGACCCCAACCAGUAGCGCUCCAGCAAGCAGCGUCCCCGUGACCGCCCCGGAGCCACCAGCGCUCUCCGCCUCUUCCUCCUCCUCCUCAUCGGCGGCGGGGCGGCGGUCCUUGGGGUUGCCGCUCCCGCCGCCGCCGAGGCGGAAGGGGACGUUGGGCGAGGCCUUCCGUAGCGUGGCCUUGUUGGGCUCCCGCAGCGAGGAGAGCGGCGGCUGGAAGGCCCGCCCCCGGUGCAGCAGCCGCCGCCGCCACGGCGAGGCCCCGAGCGCCGCCGGCGGCGAGAAGUGGGAGGAGAGGACGGGGGAGGGGGAGAGCAGCGGCGAGAGGUGCGGCUGCCUCAUGGAAGGGGCGUGGGGGAGGGGCGUCAGGGAGUGGGGCCCGUCGGCUUUGCGUUUACUGCGUGGCGGGGUGUGAGGCCAUCAGAGCGCGGAAGCGAUAAGAGGAGGGAGCGAAGGGAGCGGGGAACGGGAAGGCGCUGGAGAGGAGGAGGAGAGGAGAGGAAGGAGCGGAGCGCGUGGCACCAUCUGGGGCAGUGGAGGCGAGGACGAGACAAGCGGAAGCUGUAGCGUGGGCCCGUUUUGUCAGUGUGAUGCCGGUCUGGUUCUUUCAGGGGUAUCGGAGAAGCACCUGGUGCGAUUCCAACUGCGUGGCCUGCAAAAUUCACUUUGAUCUUUUCAGCGCCCGCACCACCCCACGCACGAGCCUCUUCCUUGAUCUUGAGCAGGAGGAUGUGCGCCGGCCUCUCCAUUUUCUGGAAAGUUCUCGCGUUUCGCUCGAGCCAAAGCUCCCAGGCUACGAGGAGAGGAGGGAACGACAGCCGCUUGCCAUUACAGAUUGGCUUAAUAACAUUAAAAAAAAAAGAAUUCAAUAUUGAGCUCGUAACCACAUCAGCGAUAAAAGCACAAGGCUCACGAGCACAUGACCGGAAAUCAAGAUACCUUUUCAGAGACAGCAAAUGAGAAACGGACAUGAAUACAUAAUAUAGGUAUCUUUAACCUUCCCAAAUGGGGCGUUUGAAUGAUUAUCAGGUCAAAAGAAUUAUGGUGGUCUGACAUUUCAACCACUGAGGGUGUGUUUGGUUGGUUGUAUCAUUUGAUUCAUGUAUGAAAUGAUUCGAAAUAAUAAUGAUCAUUUUAUUUGGUUGGGUGAAUUGGACCAACUCAUCCAGGAUGAGGCCAUCCCACUUAAUAUAUUAUUCUUGAACCAUAUGGUACAAGUAAAUUGGUUGAACCAUCCCAUCCAGGAUCAUCCAUGCAUGCAUCAUGUGGUGCAUGCAACCAAACACACCUUGAAUAAAAAGCUCUUCGAUUUUUUCCCAACAGAUAAAACCAUUAGAACUACUUGUAGUCCUUAACUUUCUCAUUCACGCAACCUGUCAAGUUAAAGUAAAUUUGUAUCAUUAUUUUAACUGCAAACAGAAUCGCCGCACUUCAUCUUAGGGCCACAUCAGUCCCCUCUCGUCAAGCGGUGGCAUUCUUCAGGUACGCAAUGAGAUCAGCACGUUCCUGUGGCUUUUUCAGUCCAGGGAACACCAUCUUGGUUCCAGGAAUGUACUGCAUAGAAAAAACAGAAUAGUUUUAGUGUUGCUGUGAAAUCAUAUUAAAUCAAAAAAUGGCACGUCAAGAGAGCAAAUAUGACAAAUCGUAUGCAAAACCAGAGGAUUAAUGUUUGGUAGUUCAUCAUUUCACAGCUAGAACUAGUAGUAACUAUACAAGCUGUUCUAGAUUAAUGAAUACCUACAGAGAGCAGGGUCUGGAGGCAUAUGAAAAUGAGAUGCAAGUACUAGUUUCCUCUCCAGGGUACUAGAAUAGCAAAUAUCACUGAUUCUGUAUCACACUGUAGCUUGAAAACAGAUAGACUAAACAAUCCCAGGAGUAAGCUUCCAGGGUGCUACCAAUUCAACUGAGAACAAAGAUUUGCAAUGCAUUCCAUACUUAGCAAUGUGCUCUACAGCAGGUACAUGGUAACAAACAGACUGGCCAAAACACUGACAUAUCUUAAUGCAAAUAUACAUGGCAGAGCUGCACAUUCAGCGUACACUUCAUAUGUGUGGAUGCAACAUGUUUUGGUGAUAAUAGAUGAAUGAAAUUAUCAGAGCGGAGAGUGAAUGCUAGCCGUACCUUCUUAGGAUUAAGCAGGUAGUCAUACAAAGUGUUCUCCUCCCAAAUCACAGCCAUGUUCUUGUUAGCCGAGGAGUAAGAGUAACCAGGAGUUGUACCAGACUGCCUCCCAAACAGACCAUUCAAGUUAGGCCCUGCAAAGUAUCAACACGAAUAUUAUUGGUAGCUUCAAAUGGUUUGAAUCCAAAGCCAAGUUAUGAAUACAGUAUAAAAACAUUGAAGCUAGCAAAUGUGCACUUGACAUUGCGGUAUCAUGAACCAACUGCAAAGUACUUAGAUCACUAUGACAGAAAAUAUGAUUGAUCAAAAUCUGCAGGCGGCAGGCGUAUUCAAUACUCGGUAUAAGAGAUAUUUGCUAACUCAUGCAGACAACAACUGCAUUUAUCCACGUCCUACCAUAGCGAGUAGCAAAUGGUGCCAUACUACAUCAAACUAGCAAAAUGGUGCAGAACAUGUAAACAAACAGACAAGACGGGGAGCUCUGACCAAGUUAAGUCAGACGUACAAUGCAGGAACCGACAAACUAGAGAUCAUCAAGCAAGCACUUGGGAUUAUCUCACAUUCGCAAACCGCAUCAAUGUACAACUGGAAUGCAGUGGCAUGCAAUCCAACGUGGUAUAAUUACAACGAACCGACGAAGCAAAGCAAUUGAAGCCUUCGCCACCCAGGAUGUGCAAGCAAACGCGCCGCUCGUGAAAAGAAAUCAAUCACUAACGGCAUCGCCCCUUGAAAUCAAGCAAUCGAUUUCCAAAGGAAUCAGAUGCAGAGUGAUUCUCUUAAGAGUCAGGGAUUAGCGCUGGUGCUCACCUUGCUUGUGGCCGGCGCCCUUGUCGACGGUGUGGCACUGCGCGCACUUGGUCUUGAAGAUCUUCUCGCCGGCCGCGGGGUUCCCCGGGGGCGCCUCUGAGAAAGACGCCAUCGCCGCCGAGCACGAAGGGGAACCUGGCCUAGGGUUAGAGUUUCGAUCGCAGUUUGAGGCGGCGGCGGUGCGUGUGCUCGUUUGAGCGAGGAGACGACACGCUGACACAGCAGCCGAAGUGGGACAAACAAAGUGCAAACCGCGCGUACGAGGGACGCGAGCGGCGCGCCAAUUUACCAUAGUGCCCUUCCGUUCGAGGGUUUGCGGAGCGGGAAGCGUGGUCCGCCGGACGCAGCAGCGUCUACUAUGUUGGGCCGACCUAUGUCGUGGGCCUAACUCCAUGGGAAAGCUAUCUGCACCGAGGAGCCCAACUGAUGCUGAUGCACCACGAUGCGAGCCGCGAUCGAGCCCCAGUAUCCACGUGAUCACCACAGCUCGUCGUUCCACAGGGAUCACCACAGCUGCGCAGCCCGCCCACAGCUUAUCGUGGCAUUGUGGCCUCGCCGGUUUCGUCACCGCGUCGCGCGGCAAGGGGGGUCGCCGCGCGCCCGGGCGCAACGGCGCCGCCGCCGGGCCGGCAGGCCACUCGAGAAUGUCGCCGACAAGUUGGCACUUUGCCACUUGCGCUACCGCAAGCUCGCCCUCUCCCUCUCUCGAUUCCGCGCGCCAGAAAGAUGCGCGUCCAACUAGGACGAUUCUGCCAGGACUAGGCGAUCCACCUGGGGUGCCGGGAGCCCGGGACAGGUCAUCAGAUCACCAAGGAACCCCGUCGUUCUAUUCUUUACGAUGGAGUCAGGGCGGUUUUGGAGUGCUCGAUGAUUAAACAACCGGGCCGUCGGGUGAUUUGCCAUCACCAGAUAUAUGCAGUAGGAGUACCAGUUGGCUAGUGGGCAGUGGCAAGGGAACGUUGCGAUGCUCCCGAUGCACAUGCACGCGGCACGAGUCUGUAGUGAACGUACGUACCUGCCCCCUACCUACGCGUUGCAACUUGCAGAAGUUGUGCUGUGUCCACACGGCCCACAGGGAAUUCCUUCGGCCGGGGUGCAAUGCAGCCGAGAUUUUGCCGUUUAAUUUCUGGGGCAGCCGUUGCAUACAAGUGAAAUAAAAGACGCCAAAACCGACGGAGUUUCGCGGUGAUGGGCACAGCUGCUUCCAGAUGCCGGUCUUCUUCCAUCAUGAACACGAUUCUCCCCAGUACAAAUAAGCAAGGUUCGCUUCGCUUUUGCUCCUGUUUUGAGAGAGGAGUGAUUCCAAAGAGUAAUCAUGAAAACGCAAAAACAGCCCCCGUACAAACUAAUGAUACUACCCGACCCAUCAAAGAACACAGGUCACAUGCACUUUAUUAGUACUAACGUAACAACGGUGGACGCACGGCCAGAUUAUAAAAAUUAGCAAAUAAAAUAGGAGCGCUAAGCAGCAGAGCUACCCACCCGCAUUGCUUGCCCAUUCAGGAAUCCGAUGAUGUACUGGCAGAGAACACCAGCGCAGUAGAAAACUCGUAGCAGGGCAAAAGCCAACGGCAAAAAUAAACGGAGCCUGCACUUGUCCAGUUGACUAAUUCCAGCGAGGGGGGCGGCUUUGGAUUCCAGCCCAGGCAACGGGCAUCUAGAUCAUGCACAGCUCUACGCUACGCAUAAACAUUUCGCUGGAAACAUCCGCAGACCCUAGGCAUGGUCAACAGCAAGCACAAAGACGGGCGGGGUGUGAACCACGGGAAGACUCCAACCCAGCUCAUGACAAAAUCCUUGCAAAGACAAGCUGUCAGCUAGGGGCCAUAGCAAAGUCUUGGGCCCUUCAGCCAUCCCCCACACGACCACAUCCACAUCUAGUGAUAUCAAUUCAUACAACAUCCAGCCAUCCAGGUGAAAGUGUGACACAAAACUAAUGAAGGUGAAAAACGAUCUGAGUGGAGUCUCAACUGGUAUUUUACCAAAUUUGCUCAAACAUUUGUUACCACCUAGAUAGAUAUCUUCACUGUUGAACUGCUUGUUUGAACAGAAAAGAAAAAGGGUGUACUGAUAUGGAAGGCCUUGGUGGUGGUCCUUGGUCCUUACCCAGCAUAUACUACUAAAUUUCUCCCAAAGCCAUUUAUACCCGGCAGAUCCUCCUUCAAUUCAAGGCCAAGAAGCAAAUAUAAUAUACUCAUCGCACAGCUGUCACAGGAGACGAACAGCUAAGGAUUAGACGACACAGCAGAGGCCCAUUCCAGCCUAGUCCAUGGUGUAACUUAUUGGCUAAGAUAUUAUGAGUUGUGGAGCAGCAAAACCAACCAAAAGUGAAUUCCAACUCAGCCUUCUCCAGCCAAUGCCAGUGCAAAAUCUAGCUACUUGCUACUUUGAUAAAUGGAAUUAGAGUACUGGACUAAUCAUGAGUCAAGCUACUUGGAAAACUUUACAAAAACCUUUUGAUUGCCACAAAACUGUUAUCAUUAAGGUAGUAAGAAGAGAAGAAGAAGAGGAAGGAAAAAAAGGGAGAACAUAGUAGAGGGGCAAAAGGCACAGGUGAAUACUUCUUAGUAUCUAGGUACUUCCUUGAGAGGGAGCAUAGGCAUUGCAGCACUUGGUGAAGAUCCUGAGGGUGAUCCAAUUUGGACACCGCUGCGAGAAGAGAAGCCCAUCUCAUCUGCACCAUCCUGCUGGAGCUGGUCUUCCCUGAUCAUUGUGCGGAAGGAUAUGGAGCCCCGCUUUGUUGAAGUGUCAGAAUUCCGCUCAAUUUCUCGGAAACUCUGGUUGGUCACAAGUGACGCACCUUCAUAGUAGUAAUCAUCAUAGGGCACCAUCUCUGCUAUUUCCCUGUGGCCUAUAUCUCGGAGGGCCAACGAAUCAGCUACAGGGUAGUAAACAAGCAAGAGUAUUCCAACAGUUGUGCAGGACAGCAUCAUCAAGAAUGACAGGAAGAUAAUGCCCUCAAAGGCAACAUCUCCCGGCUUGGGUAGGACUGAAAACCCAAGGAGAAGCACCCUGAUAGGAAGGAAGCAAAGGACUGAAAGCAUCAGCAGGGAAACCCUCCUUCGCAGUGCCUUGUUGAUGACCAAGGAGAGCACCCGAGAUCCAACAUAUGAUACAUAGCUCAUGAGGAUAGCAUCUACAAGUCCCAGAAAAAUGGUGCCAAACAAUGGGUAAGUGCAAACGCUUGAAUCUCCAACUGCCAUGGAUGUCCGUAUGAAGUAUUUAGCAAUCUUUCUCCUCCCAUGUUCACUGUUCUCAUCUUUAACAAACUUUGGCCCAAGAAACACUAAGAUUGCCUGCACAAAGAAAACUGGAAUGCAGAACACCAACAUGUAGGCCAUGGUCUUCCAAUUCCAUCUUUGGUUCAAAGUGCCCAGCUCCCUCUUUUGUAAUGAGCCAUGGAGCAGAAGCGCAAAUGCAAACAAGAUCCCUGGCUCUGCAAACCCUAGAUUGGAAAGUAUAUACACGUCACAUAUAUUCCUCUGCCAUACUAAGCUGGAGAACAACUUUUUCUUCAAGAAGCUCAACCUCACUAUCUCCCCUACUCCCCACCAAAUGGUGAUCAGAAUCAGCACAAUGCGAGUCACCCAUGGGCCGUUAAAGUAACCAAGCGGAAGAAAGGAGGACCCUCUUUGAAUCCGACGCCUGAAGUAGACUGACUGGAAAAUGCAGAAGAGGCCCAGAGCAGCGAACAGCGCAAACAGUGCAAUUGUCAACACACCGAAUGCAUCGGCAGCUACUCUGGUCAGGGGCAUCACCCGAAGAACAGUUGCCACGCAUGCUCUCCGCUCGCAUCGACAGCACAAUGGCCCACAAAUACCAUAUACGCAACUGCCUUCUAAGUCUCAACGAUGGCCAGCUUCUAAGCACUGCAAUCAACAAGUAACUGUAUAAGAUUGAAAGCAAAUUUGCAAAGACUAGUACCCCAAAAAAAGAAAAGCUAUUUUCUCUUCACCACUACACACCUAAAACCAAAUUCAUUUUAUUUGAGUUGAUUAUACCCUAGACCUCCAGGGCUCGUGCAAGGACAAACCCAUUAGUGACUGCCAUAACUAAGUUAAUACAGUACUGAAAUGCCAUAACUUGAUCAGGUUAAUCAGCAGGCGCAUAACCUAUGCCAUUUAAGUUGGUGGCAAAUUACUUGAAUCAGCCAGCUAAAAGCUUACCAUUCCUGCACUAAAACGCGGCAAUUUUUGAACCUCCUAACCACUUCAGAAAUAGGAAGAAUAGCACUUGGUAGCUCUUAAAUAAUCCAAUAAGCAGCAUAUUUGCUCGUUCCCCAACAGCUAAACGGUUCAAACCCAGACCAUUAAUCACCACAGUAAGCACGGGAUCACCAAAAAGGAGUUGCCUAAAAAACUUCGGAGAAACUACUCAAGCUCUCAGCAAAUCACCUCAGCGAAGGCCGGAGGGCGGCGGGGAGCGCCGCCAGGGGCCUCCCGGCGGCGGAAGCCGAGGCAGCCGAGAAACACCACCGAAUCCGGCGAUUCCUGGGUCGAACCGGCGGUGGCGGCGAGGCGAGGUGGGAUCCGGCGGCGGAGGAGGUGUAGGGGAAUGGAGCCCUAGCGACGGAGCUGGUGAAGCGAGGCAGUGGGGAAUGGGGGAAGGGGGAGGGGUUGAGGAGGAGGAGAGAGAAAGAGAGAAGUGGGAGGAAAGGAGUGCGGAGACAGAGCGAAGAAGAGAGGAGUGGGGGUGGGAGACAGGCUGUCUCCAGUUGUCUUGCGGCUCGGUAGGCGCCGGACCUCCAGCCUCGGUCGCCCCCACCCGAGCCUGCGUGGAGCCUGGCAAAUUGAUACGUGUACCCGCAAAUCCCAUUACCAGCCUACCAGGCAUCAUAGUUCUUGUGUUCAUUUGAUGCUUCAUUCGUCGAUUGUCAGGAAACAAUAGUGCUGGACGAUGAGGUGAUAUGAUGAUAUUUUUUAUAAGUCUUACUAUUUUAAUUAUUAAGAAUGUUAACGUUCUAUAUAGCACAUUAAGUAUUUUAGACCGUUAGAUCUCCGUCAAUGUUAGCUCUGCUCGCUUGAGCUAUUGUUGUGGCUGCAGCUGCAUCCUACCUAUACAAAAGUACUGUAGCAUUGAACUAAAAGCGGCAGCAACAGCCACAACAAUAGCUGAAACGAACACUUUUAUCUGAUGGCUCUCCUUCCUUUAUCUCGCCUCCCGUCUUCUUCUUCCUUCUGCUUCUCCUUAGUUCAUCCAUGGCGCUCAAACAAUGUCUUGUUGCUCCUAGCCUCCUACUGUCCUACACCAUCCUCUUCCUCCUCUCAUCUACAAACACUCUCCUUCAUCGCGCUAACCAUCGAAGUGAGUUGUCCUAAGUCCUAACUUCAACUAUUCCCAUCGAGCAUCGUCCACCACUUGGUUGGCGGAGCCCAAACACCUUUCUUGUUACUGUCCUGCCCACUAGCCACCUCUACCACCGGCAAAACUUCCUCCCAUGCUCUUCCCUCCAAAUCCGCAAUCCUAAUUCAAAAAUAUUUAAACCUCUAACGCGAUCUCAUUUGAGAAGUCUAGUCUUGCCCGAGAUGGAGGAGAGGGCUGCGGAUAUUUUUGGGGUGGAGAAGAGAGUGGACAUUGUUAGUUUCUAGCUAAACAUCUCUCUUAAGCAAGUGUUUGGUUCUCCACGAUAACUGUAGCUAGCCAUACUUUUUCAGCUUGAUAUCCAACGCAUUUGAUUCGGUCCUUUUACCAAACUUUUUGAUAAAGUGUGGUGAACAAAUUACUAGUCAUAUUUAUGUGUGGUUUAGCAAAAAAAAAAUACGGCAAAGUACAAAAGUAGGCCAAAUGUAGUGUGAUGCAAAUAAAAACUCCCUUAAAGUUGUGACAAACUGCGAGGCAAGUGACAUGUUAAAUGCAACAUCAUAGGUAAUUGAAAUAGGUACUUUGUUAAGAAAUAUUGUUGCGAAGCGGAUGACAAGGCAUGUUGAGUCAAAUAAGAAUUACUGUGCAUGUAUAUACCAUAGGAGGAGGAUGGUAUUUCUUUUUUUCCCCUUAGAUGCUAAAUUGGUCGAAGUAAAUUUUAAUAAAAUCCAAGUAAACUUCCAUGAACUCAAACUCUUAUUACACCGGACUAACUGAAAAUUCAUUAUUACGUUUUUCACUAAAUUAGCAACAAACACUCGUUUAAAGAGUUUACAUGCCCCCAAAAAAUGUUUUGUAGUAAAGCUUAAAGAGCUAACUAAAAAAUAUAACAUGUUCUAUAGUUUGUUCUUUUGAUAUUAAGAAGAGCAUGAAUGCAAAAGUAUGGAUUAGCUUGUUUACUAUAUUGUUGGAUGUAGGUUCAACGAUAAAUGCUUGAUAGUCCAAAUAAUGCUACGUGAAAAAAUAUACUUUGGUUUAUUACAAGGAAAAAAGUGCGGUGCACAUAUACAUAUGUACUUCUUUUUGUCCUUGCAUCCAAAUGUCAGAUACGAUACAGAGCUCAAAUCUAAAGACACAUGAAAAUAUGCUUAUAGUCUUCUACCAAUAACACUUUCACAUGAAAACACGUCUCUUAGCACCCCCACAAGGAUGACGUAGAAGCGCAAUGUAGAUAGGAUGAGUAUGGCCAACCGCCUUGUAUCUUCCUACCUUCUGAAAUGACUCCUUCUCGAGUCACUCGUGGGGUCCAUCUCAAGCUUAUAAGAUUAUUGUUCACAUUACUUCUUUUUUUCAAAAUAAAAUGAUGUGUAGUCAUUAUCAUCUUAAUAAGAAGUGGACAAAUUAUGUUACACAUCUUUCCAAGCCACCAGCAUUCCACAAAUCCUAGUUUUCGUCCUACGGGCUAAGUUGAAACCAGACAAAAGAGUGCACUUUCGCUGGAAUAUCAUAUAUAGCUUUAACAAGAAAGAAAAGCCAUAUACAGUUAAGUAAUAACAACAGAACGAUAUGGACAUGACAACACGUGCAACCUCUCCCCGCGCCCUGUUCGCACGUUGCUCCGGCCAUGCCUGGGGCUGGGGCAGUCAGGCAGGCAGGCGCAAGGUCAAACGCGAUGCACCCGCCCGCACGGGGGCGUGUACCGCACGGCCCCUGGAUCUCCGCGCGCCGACGGAGCGAACGCUAGCCCAACCGCCGCGGGACGGCAGGAGGACGGGCGGGCGGAGGUGGGGGGGUGGGGAUCCGCCGGCCGGCAAGCCAAGGGUGCCGUUGCCGGCGGCACACGGCCCUUCCUUUUCCCCUCAUCUUCUUUCACAGCCUUGCGAGCCACGAUUAAUCAUGGCUGGCUUUUCGCUUUGGCGCGGCGCGGCGAGGGGCGUCGUCAUAGGGUGCGGAUGAUGCGGAGCUGCCGGCCGUGCGGUCCUGGGCGUGGCGGCGACCCCAACCUCGUACCGCCUGCACGCGGCGUGCCUGCGCGCCAGAUCGGCUCGCAUCUUUCCUGAUCGGAAAGCGCUCGCGGCUCGCCACUCCUCUCCGCUCUCCCCUGCCUUGGCUGAGCCCCCGACAUCCCCACUGGCCGGUGUCAGUCUGCUGCCUGCCGCGGCCGGAUCGUGCCGUGUCGGCUGUACAUUUCCCAAGGACGCUAGAGAUCACAAAGGAAUUUCGUAGCCUCAGCCGUUCAGACAGAUCUCCGUUGCCACUUAACUUCAACUGUGGGUGCAUUCUUUCAUUUCAGAGGGACAAGCAAAAUAACCAGAUGAGUGCAAGAGAAAUUCAUCAAAGUUGCCAUAUAUAUAAGCUGAAAAAGGAGGACUUUUCAUCAAUGCUAAUGACAUGCAUGAGUGUUCACAGAUUUGGGCUGAACUUACUUUAGCUAAAAACGGCAGACUUAUUUCCAGGUAUUUACACUGUUCUAAGUUCCUUGGACGAUGAAGCUAGGCACCGGUGGAUGGAUAUGAUACGCGCGACUACGUACACUAGACUACAC